GUAUCCUACGGGAGGCAGCAGUGGGGAAUAUUGCACAAUGGGGGGAACCCUGAUGCAGCGACGCCGCGUGGGUGAAGAAGUCAUUCGUGACGUAAAGCCCUAUCAGCAGGGAAGAAAAUGACGGUACCUGACUAAGAAGCCCCGGCUAACUCCGUGCCAGCAGCCGCGGUAAUACGGAGGGUGCGAGCGUUAUCCGGAUUUACUGGGUGUAAAGGGAGCGUAGGCGGCGCGUUAAGUCUGAUGUGAAAACCCGAGGCUCAACCACGGGAGUGCAUUGGAAACUGGCGGGCUGGAGUGCCGGAGAG
rnacentral:rRNA from 1 species